rnacentral:rRNA from 1 species
GACGAACGCUGGCGGCGUGCUUAACACAUGCAAGUCGAACGGAAAGGCCCUGCUUUUGUGUGGUUCUCGAGUGGCGAACGGGUGAGUAACACGUGAGUAACCUGCCCUUUGCUUUGGGAUAACUUCAGGAAACUGGGGCUAAUACCGGAUAGGUGCUCCUGCUGCAUGGUGGGGGUUGGAAAGUUUCGGCGGAUGGGGAUGGACUCGCGGCUUAUCAGCUUGUUGGUGGAGUAGUUGCUUACCAAGGCUUUGACGGGUAGCCGGCAUGAGAGGGUGACCGGCCACAUUGCGACUGAGAUACGGACCAGACUCCUACGGGAGGCAGCAGUGGGGAAUAUUGCACAAUGGGGGGAAGCCUGAUGAAGCAACGCCGCGUGCGGGAUGACGGCCUUCGGGUUGUAAACCGCUUUCGCCUGUGACGAAGCGUGAGUGACGGUAAUGGGUAAAGAAGCACCGGCUAACUACGUG